GAUUUCAACUGAAAAAGUCAUCAAUAACAAAGUUGUAUAACUCAUCAAUAUAUAUAACUUCUAUUUUGGUCAUUUCUUCAUCCCACAAAGUGAUUUGUAAAAUUGUUCACAAAAUGUACAUAUCUCUAAUAUAGUUUUAUAAACUGUAAAUUUUGUGAAAAUGUUACUAUCACUUUGUUGGAUGAAGAAAUGACCAAAAUAGAAGUUAUAAAUCUUGAUGGGUUAUACAACUUUGUUGCUGAUGACUUUUUCAGCUGAAAUC
rnacentral:pre_miRNA from 1 species